rnacentral:rRNA from 1 species
UACGGAGGAUGCGAGCGUUAUCCGGAUUUAUUGGGUUUAAAGGGUGCGUAGGCGGCGAGUUAAGUCAGCGGUAAAAGCCCGGGGCUCAACCCCGGCGAGCCGUUGAAACUGGCGGGCUGGAGUUGGAGAGAAGUACGCGGAAUGCGCGGUGUAGCGGUGAAAUGCAUAGAUAUCACACAGAACACCGAUUGCGAAGGCAGCAUACCGGCGCCCAACUGACGCUGAGGCACGAAAGUGCGGGUAUCGAACAGG